GUACACAAAAAUGCACAUAUUGUGAGCUCGAUGAGUAGGGCGGGACACGUGGUAUCCUGUCUGAAUAUGGGGGGACCAUCCUCCAAGGCUAAAUACUCCUGACUGACCGAUAGUGAACCAGUACCGUGAGGGAAAGGCGAAAAGAACCCCGGCGAGGGGAGUGAAAAAGAACCUGAAACCGUGUACGUACAAGCAGUGGGAGCCUCUUUAUGGGGUGACUGCGUACCUUUUGUAUAAUGGGUCAGCGACUUAUAUUCUGUAGCAAGGUUAACCGAAUAGGGGAGCCGAAGGGAAACCGAGUCUUAACUGGGCGUUAAGUUGCAGGGUAUAGACCCGAAACCCGGUGAUCUAGCCAUGGGCAGGUUGAAGGUUGGGUAACACUAACUGGAGGACCGAACCGACUAAUGUUGAAAAAUUAGCGGAUGACUUGUGGCUGGGGGUGAAAGGCCAAUCAAACCGGGAGAUAGCUGGUUCUCCCCGAAAGCUAUUUAGGUAGCGCCUCGUGAAUUCAUCUCCGGGGGUAGAGCACUGUUUCGGCAAGGGGGUCAUCCCGACUUACCAACCCGAUGCAAACUGCGAAUACCGGAGAAUGUUAUCACGGGAGACACACGGCGGGUGCUAACGUCCGUCGUGAAGAGGGAAACAACCCAGACCGCCAGCUAAGGUCCCAAAGUCAUGGUUAAGUGGGAAACGAUGUGGGAAGGCCCAGACAGCCAGGAUGUUGGCUUAGAAGCAGCCAUCAUUUAAAGAAAGCGUAAUAGCUCACUGGUCGAGUCGGCCUGCGCGGAAGAUGUAACGGGGCUAAACCAUGCACCGAAGCUGCGGCAGCGACACUAUGUGUUGUUGGGUAGGGGAGCGUUCUGUAAGCCUGUGAAGGUGGCCUGUGAGGGUUGCUGGAGGUAUCAGAAGUGCGAAUGCUGACAUAAGUAACGAUAAAGCGGGUGAAAAGCCCGCUCGCCGGAAGACCAAGGGUUCCUGUCCAACGUUAAUCGGGGCAGGGUGAGUCGACCCCUAAGGCGAGGCCGAAAGGCGUAGUCGAUGGGAAACAGGUUAAUAUUCCUGUACUUGGUGUUACUGCGAAGGGGGGACGGAGAAGGCUAUGUUGGCCGGGCGACGGUUGUCCCGGUUUAAGCGUGUAGGCUGGUUUUCCAGGCAAAUCCGGAAAACCAAGGCUGAGGCGUGAUGACGAGGCACUACGGUGCUGAAGCGACAAAUGCCCUGCUUCCAGGAAAAGCCUCUAAGCAUCAGGUAACAUCAAAUCGUACCCCAAACCGACACAGGUGGUCAGGUAGAGAAUACCAAGGCGCUUGAGAGAACUCGGGUGAAGGAACUAGGCAAAAUGGUGCCGUAACUUCGGGAGAAGGCACGCUGAUAUGUAGGUGAAGCGACUUGCUCGUGGAGCUGAAAUCAGUCGAAGAUACCAGCUGGCUGCAACUGUUUAUUAAAAACACAGCACUGUGCAAACACGAAAGUGGACGUAUACGGUGUGACGCCUGCCCGGUGCCGGAAGGUUAAUUGAUGGGGUUAGCGGCAACGCGAAGCUCUUGAUCGAAGCCCCGGUAAACGGCGGCCGUAACUAUAACGGUCCUAAGGUAGCGAAAUUCCUUGUCGGGUAAGUUCCGACCUGCACGAAUGGCGUAAUGAUGGCCAGGCUGUCUCCACCCGAGACUCAGUGAAAUUGAACUCGCUGUGAAGAUGCAGUGUACCCGCGGCAAGACGGAAAGACCCCGUGAACCUUUACUAUAGCUUGACACUGAACAUUGAGCCUUGAUGUGUAGGAUAGGUGGGAGGCUUUGAAGUGUGGACGCCAGUCUGCAUGGAGCCGACCUUGAAAUACCACCCUUUAAUGUUUGAUGUUCUAACGUGGGCCCCUAAUC
rnacentral:rRNA from 1 species